CCUUCCAGCUUUGCUUGAACGGGAUGGCCUGAUACUAAAGAUGGAUGACUUCAAGCUUCCCGCUACAUGGAACUUUAAGUACAGGAGAAUUUGUGAAGUCCCAUAGUCUCGAGGCAGGAUACACACUCAUCAUCUACAAAAGCCUGGAGUCCUGAAAAUUUUUGGCAUGUGAUUUUGGGAUACAGAAGAAUUUCAGAAGAAUACUCACCAAGCCUCCCGAUUCGGUCGUCACCGCCUUAGCUAUGUCCCUGCAUGAUUUCCCUGGCCGACGUGGGGUGUCAGACAUUAGGAUGCGACGCCGGCGACACGAGUCACUUAGGGGAGAACCCAUCAGCAGGCGCAGGCUUCUGGUGUCC